UAUGAGGCUAUACAUUAUAGUUAUAACCAUGUUAUGAGGCUAUACAUUAUAGUUAUAACCAUGUUAUGAGGCUAUACAUUAUAGUUAUAACCAUGUUAUGAGGCUAUACAUUAUAGUUAUAACCAUGUUAUGAGGCUAUACAGGACUGACCAUCCAUGAUGUCAACAUUAUAGUUAUAACCAUGUUAUGAGGCUAUACAGUUUUUGUUUAUAUAUACAAUGUUUACAAACAUUGGGGGAAAACAACUCAUGUGGAACAAACUUAAACGUGUGCCUUUCUUCAAUGCUGAUUUCAAUGUCAUUAAGGAUUAUUUUUUCCGCAAACAUCCUUCCUGAAUUUAAAAGUUAUCCUCUAAGUAAUAAUCUAGUUUUUCAAGGGUAUCUGUAAUCUGAUUACAAUAUUUUAGUUACGUAACGGAUUACAGGUACCGUUUUUUGUAAUCCCUAAUAUGUUUGAAAACGUUGUGAGUUUAGCUAACUAGCCUGGUUGCCAGCUAGCUAACGUUAUCUAGCUGGCAGUUUCAGCACUGGCCUAAGUGGCCAGCUCCCUGCCACACACACACACACACAUACACACACACACACACACACACACACACACACACACACACACACACACACACACACACACACACACACACACACACACAGUCAGUACCAUAGCUAGCUAGCUAAAUUCUAUGUCAUUGUAACAAUUUAGAAGUUGACCCCUGUAAACAUAAGAGAGAGUACAUUUAAAUAUUGUGUGUAUUGUUUUGUUAUUUAACCUAUGUAAGGCUGUAAACAUACUUAGUAAGCUGCUAUACGUAUUGUGUUGUUUGUUUCCAGCUCCUCCUGGCCGUGGUGGUACUGUCGUGGACCUACGUCAUCUAUGGGAGUAGAAUAGCAGCACAGAGACAGUUGGAGAAGAGACUCAACAUCAAACUACACAACUAAAGCACCAGCGGCUAGCACAACUCCAAUACACUAAAGGCUGGAGUUAUGAAUACCGUGGGCAUUCCCAAGACAAAGUCAAGGCCCCUGGACGAGUCUCCAUCCCGUUGCUGUGAUGAAGUCUGUCUUUACUGACCAGCUGCUCUUUCUGUCUCAUUUAUACUCCACUGUGCUGAAUGCUUUGUUACCAUGUUAGUUUGUCUUAGAUGUGAGUCAUAUUUUUCAUAUCGUGCAAAAUUAUUUUUAUUAAUAAAAAUUGAAAAAAACUAAGAGUUACCAA
ensembl:lncRNA